UAAAGCUAUUUUCUCUUCGUAAAUUAACGCCUGUUCGACGUCCUUUUGGCGCAGGUUACCUGUAAUGAGACAGUUUGCAAAAUAAACACGGGUCCAUUUGUUACAAAUAUUUCGAUUUGACAAUGAUUAAUGGAUUACUUACCGACAAUCUGAUGCACAUGCAGUUGCGAAAUAUGAGCACGUCUCUGCAUUUCUUCGCUGGGUAUGCAACUCCUAUUAUCCUCCAUUUGUUGUUCAUCAUCCACGCAAUUCUGUACAGCUUUUCGGAUCGACUCGAUCCAUACUUUUUGUUCCUUAGGCCUGAUGAUUUUCAAUUCGAACAUUUCUGGGUUUGCGGGAUUGGAGGAUAUUAAGUAAAUGCUUUUCGAGUCAGUGCCUGCUUUUUCGCGUACGAGUAAUUUUUGAAGACCAAUUACACCAGGCUAAACAGAAAUUGUCAAAAUUAUAAAAGGAGGUAGAAUACGAUUUCAGAAAUAAAAUUCUCAAGCCAACCUUUUGAUCGGGGGCGAAAAAGGAAAACUUAUUAUUAUUUUCGUUUAAAAAUAAUAAUAUAUCCGACAAUACGAUUACAUGAACUGACUGCUUUUUGGUAGGACCUUGCAUCAAAUGCGCUUCACCUUCGAAUCUGCUCAAGCAUAGAUAGAAAAAUUGAUCAAGAAAAAAAUACUACAUUGUAAAAUAUCCUUGAAAACAAUACAUACCUCAAUUUCCGAUUAUUUGAUAGGAUAUCGGAUUUUUUGAAAAUACUUCCACGAUAUUGCGUGGAGGAUUUCGCUUCAAUUUUGUUAUAGAUUUCCAAUUUCCUAUCUUCUUUUUCUUUUUCAGCUACUCGAGAAUUAACUUCGGUUAAUAUAUCCUGAAAACCCCAUACAAUUUCAGAUUAUAAAAUACAAAUUUAAAAACAACAAAAAAAACAAAGCAGCAACUAAACACGGAGAAACUUUCACGAUCAGUCAAUUCCGAUCGAAUUGGAAUUCGGUUCUACGAAAGAGCAAACCAUGCAGGUUUGACAACUAAAUUUCCAUCAGCUGAAGUUGAUUUUUUUAAAUCUUUAUUUCCAAACGAAAGAAAAUUGUUUUCUACCAAAUCUUUUACGACCGCUUUUGAGCCAAUUUGAAGCCUCCGUCAAAAGUUUAAAAUUAUUCCAAAAAACGCCGUAAUUGACCUAGCAGCUAAAAAUGUAAUCCUGUCGCAAGUUCGACACACGUCGAUCAUUCAAAAAUUCACCAAAGCUCGAAAAAUCAACUUCGCCAGCUCAAAAUUUGGUUAGCUCCUACUGAUACCGGAAUUUCAGCUCGACCCGAAUUGCUAAUUACCAAGAUUUUCUCGUAAAUCAAAAAUAAAACGAUAUUUAUAAUUCGAACCUUGAUAUACGUCAACGCUCCGGUUAACUUGUCUACUUCAACUUUAUUUUCUUUGGAUGUUUUGAUCAAUGGUUCAAUAAGUAAUGGAUACUUCGUCAAUCUUUGCGUUACGAAUAAAAUACAUUCAGGUAUACCUUUCUUCUUCAGCAAGGGAUUAUUCUGAUUACAAAAAUUAAACAAAAAUUACUCAAUGUUGCAAACGAAACUAAUAUUCCUUUCAAGAAUCUAUCACUCACUUGACAAUACUUCACGAAUUCGGCGAAUCUGGCAUCGUGUUGUAAAUAAUACUUGUAAAUAUCUACGGCAUCUCUAUGUCGCGAGCAGAAUUCGCCAUAAACAGCUUUCAACUGUUCGGCAGCGGAUCCGGAAAAUUGUUCUAGUAAAAUAUCGCUAAUGGAAUCCACAACAACGGCGUCUCUCUGCUUCUUGCGUAGAUUUCGUAAAAAUUUCAAGUGUAUUUCGGUUAGUUCUGCGAGGCGUGGAAACAUUCGAUGAAGAUUUGCACCGAGGUUGAAAUACUUUCUUAAACCGUCGACGAAAAUCUAUAAAUGAACGUAAUAUUUUAAUUGAAAAUCAACUAAGAGAAUUUCUCAAUGGCACAAAUUUGGAAAUUACCUUUUGCAUGACGAUUAGAGUAAGACAAUGAUGUUUUUCCGUUAAUAUGAACUCGUAUAUAUGUUCUUGUCGUU